rnacentral:rRNA from 1 species
AUGAACGCUAGCGGCAGGCCUAACACAUGCAAGUCGAGGGGCAGCACGUUAAGUUAGCAAUAACUUAUGGUGGCGACCGGCGGACGGGUGCGUAACGCGUAUGUAACCUACCUUUAAUUGGGGGAUAAUUCGGAGAAAUCUGGUCUAAUACCCCAGAACAUCCUGCUCGGAAUCGGGCGGGGUUAAAAACUCAGGUGAUUAGAGAUGGACAUGCGUAACAUUAGUUAGUUGGUAGGGUAACGGCCUACCAAGACUACGAUGUUUAGGGGGACUGAGAGGUUAACCCCCCACACUGGAACUGAGACACGGUCCAGACUCCUACGGGAGGCAGCAGUGAGGAAUAUUGGUCAAUGGGGGCAACCCUGAUCCAGCGAUGCCGCGUGAGUGAAGAAGGCCUGCGGGUUGUAAAGCUCUUUCGGUGGGGAGGAAGGCUCCCAAAUGAAUAAUUUGGGGGAUUGACGUAACCCACAAAAGAAGCACCGGCUAACUCUGUGCCAGCAGCCGCGGUAA